GCCAUCUUAGCUCAGUUGGCAGAGCAUUGCAUUCGUAACGCAAAGGUCCGCAGUUCGAUCCUGCGAGAUGGCUCCA
rnacentral:tRNA from 2 species